rnacentral:rRNA from 1 species
AUGUUGACAAAUGAAAAUAAUUGGACACUCCCUGCAGCUCCUGAGCCAAUUUCUGAGCCUAUUCCUAAACCAACUCCAAAGAAAAGAGGUGUUCUAUUUCUCAGUCCUGAAGAUAUGCAAGAGGCGAAGAAAUCUAUGAAAGAAAAAGGUAUAAAAGCUGAAGAUGUUAAGAAUUUACCUCCUAUUGAAGAAAUACAUGGUCUUAAUCUACCGCCUGUUGAAGAAACAUAUGAUCUUAAUCCAUUACCUAUUGAAGAAACUCAUGGUCUUGAUAACCCGACACAGGUAGUAAAGGUAAAUUCUCUCUAUAGAUUUGAUGAAGGCGAUAUUCCUCACUAUAAGUCUGCUAGACAAUGCUUAGAAGACUUUGAUAAUUUUAUUGUCAAACAAGAAAACUUCAAUGCUUAUUUUGGUAGACAAUUGAAAUACAAUUCAGAUACGCUUGAAUAUUUGGGUGAUUAUAUGUCUAGAGUUAAAGGUGAACUUAAACUCAUUACUAAACAUGCUUCUAUGGUUACCACUCAAGUAGAACAAGUACUUAAAGCUCAAAAUGAUUUGCUCAAUGAAAUGAAUAGUAAGAAAAAUGAUUAUUCUGUUAGAGUGGCUACUAGAACUGGUAGAAUGACUCAGGAACCUUUGUAUCCUGAAGGCCACCCUAAGAGAAUUGAGCAAGAUUCUCAAAGAAAUAAUAUUGAUGCACCUAGUCCUUCUAAAAAGAAGAAAAAGAAAAAUGAUAGGACUUUGCAUGCUUCUAGUGAACCUAUUGCUGAACCACCUGCGAAUCCAAAUGAUAUAUCUAUUUCUGAUGCUGAAACACAAUCUGGUAAUGAAUAUGAACCUAGUGAAAAUGUUAAUGAUGAUGUUCAUGAUGAUGCUCAACCUAGUAAUGAUAAUGAUGUAGAAAUUGAACCUGUUGUUGAUCUUGAUAACCCACAAUCAAAGAAUCAACGUUAUGAUAAGAGAGACUUUGUUGCUAGGAAACAUGGUAAAGAAAGAGAGCCAUGGGUUCAGAAACGCAUGCCUUUUCCUCCGAAACCAUCCAAGAAAAAGGAUGAUGAGGAUUUUGAGCGCUUUGCUGAAAUGAUUAGACCUAUCUUUUUGCGUAUGCGAUUAGCUGAUAUGCUCAAAAUGAAUCCUUAUGCUAAGUAUAUGAAAGAUAUUGUUACUAAUAAAAGAAAGAUACCGGAAGCUGAAAUUUCCACCAUGCUUGCUAAUUAUACUUUUAAGGGUGGAAUACCUAAGAAACUUGGAGAUACAGGAGUACCUACUAUACCAUGCUCCAUUAAAAGAAACUAUGUUAAAACUGCUUUAUGUGAUCUUGGAGACGGUGUUAGUGUUAUGCCUCUCUCUUUAUAUCGUAGACUUGAUUUGAAUAAGUUGACACCUACUGAAAUAUCUUUGCAAAUGGCUGAUAAAUCAACUGCUAUACCUGUCGGUAUUUGUGAGGAUGUGCCUGUUGUGGUUGCAAACGUUACUAUUUUAACAGACUUUGUUAUUCUUGAUAUUCCCGAGGACGAUAGUAUGUCUAUUAUUCUUGGAAGACCCUUUUUGAAUACAACAGGGGCUGUUAUUGAUUGCAACAAAGGCAAUGUCACUUUUCAUGUUAAUGGUAAUGAGCAUACGGUACACUUUCCGAGGAAACAACCUCAAGUUCAUAGUAUCAAUUCUAUUGGAAAAAUUCCAUCGAUUAUUUUUGGAGGUUUUGAAUUUCCUCUUCCUACUGUCAAGAAGAAAUAUGAUAUUCUUAUUAUUAGGGAUGUGCAUAUCCCCAUUGAGGUAACAUAG